rnacentral:rRNA from 1 species
AUUGAACGCUGGCGGCAUGCCUUACACAUGCAAGUCGAACGGUAACGGGCCUUCGGGUGCCGACGAGUGGCGAACGGGUGAGUAAUGCAUCGGAACGUACCUUUCAGUGGGGGAUAACGUAGCGAAAGUUACGCUAAUACCGCAUAUUCUGUGAGCAGGAAAGCAGGGGAUCGCAAGACCUUGCGCUGAUUGAGCGGCCGAUGUCAGAUUAGCUAGUUGGUGAGGUAAAGGCUCACCAAGGCGACGAUCUGUAGCGGGUCUGAGAGGAUGAUCCGCCACACUGGGACUGAGACACGGCCCAGACUCCUACGGGAGGCAGCAGUGGGGAAUUCUGGACAAUGGGGGCAACCCUGAUCCAGCCAUGCCGCGUGAGUGAAGAAGGCCUUCGGGUUGUAAAGCUCUUUCGGCCGGGAAGAAAUCGCACAGGCUAAUACCUUGUGUGGGUGACGGUACCGGAAUAAGAAGCACCGGCUAACUACGUGCCAGCAGCCGCAGUAAGAC